UACUACGUGAAAAAUCACGUAGAUCCAUAAUAAUGAACCAUUCCCUGACUCCACCUGACUAACGUAACAGCUACCGGACUUCUGGUGGUUUUCACUGCGAUGAACCCAUCGAUUCUACGUGGAAUUUACGUACAUGAUUGAGUUCAUUCCGAUCGUGUUCAUUCCUCGAUUCAUUUUGUUUUGCAAUGAAUCGUAAAGAUGGCGUCAGUUGGAAAUAAAGGUAAAUAUUUGGGAGACUUGCCAUCAAUUUGAUUAAAUUCUAAGGUAACUUUUUUUAUUAAUGUUGCAGUGAGACUUACAUUGAACUUCUCGACAGAUCAUCGGGCCAUUUCGGGCUGCAUUAUUGUUAGAAAUGCAAAUCACAUUGCUAUAUAGUUCUGGAAGAACUGGUGGCUAUCCCGUUGGUGAAGUUCAAGCAAAAGUAAUCUGGAACUAUCUGACGAAGGAUUCGAGGAUCAGGCAUCCAGUUCGAGACUAACCUUGAUAUCAGAUGUGUCGGCAUUGUUACGCCCAAUGUGUAAUACUUAUUGUGUGCCAAAACGAUGGUUCAAUAAAUGUUAUGGUUUUUUU